rnacentral:lncRNA from 1 species
AGGGCCCUAGUCCUCCACCUAGGGAAUGUGGCUUAUGUUUCAUGAAGAAAAUCAAGUGGUAGACACCUUAGCAAAGGAGGGAUCCAAGAGGAUGGAUCUAACUCUUUAGUUUUUUGAGCAGUUCCUCUCUUGUUUUUAUCUGGGAAAUAGGAGGCAGAAAAGACGAACUCUUUUUUUAGGCUUCAAAAGUUGGAUCUUACGCGGAUAGUUGUAAUAGCUACUAUGUAAUCCCCUCCUCUUCCCUUAACCCCACUAGCAGUAGCAAUACUAUGCCAC